GGGUCUUAUUCUAACAACAAAAACUAGUUCAAAGCAUACAAGAGUUUCUGUGCGUUCCUGUCAAUCCUGUAAUGAAGAGACUUUGCAAAUAUCUUUAGUUCAUUCUUCCAUCCGCUGAAGUGAGGUUUAACCUUUAAAAACGUACUUAUCUUACUUAUCUACUUAUCUAUGAAUCUAGUAUUUGCACAAAGUAAUUAAGUUAUUUAUCAAAAAGUCUAGGAUCUUUUCCUUCAACAAUACUCCAACCUUAACUGAGAUCACAGUCAAAGGGUGUAUUGAUAUCUGUUUGAAAUGAAGCCAGUUUUGAAAUUCCAGCCAAAAAGUCUGUACAGAUUCACAUUUCAAAAACAUAUGAUCAACAGUUUCAAUAUCUUUCUCACAGAACCCGCAUGAAUUGUUCUCCCAAUUAAAUCUUUCUUGUAGGAAUUGAUUGGAUAAAUGUCCUUUCGAAUUUUAAAUGUUACUUCUUUGGCUUUAGGAAGAACUGGAUAAGUAAAAUAAAGCUUCCUUAUUUUCUUUGCCUCUUCUUCAAUAAAUUCUUGAAGAACAUACUUUCUUUUCAGUUGACUGGGGAAGUACAGUUUGGAUAAUACAUUUCUGAUAAACUUAUUUGUUAAUUGUUUGCUCUUUAAAUUUUUACCUUUAGUACAUGAUGGAUAGCAUAGAUGUAACUUAGUUUUUGCUGGCUUGUGGUAAAAUAACGUAGUGAAUAAUGAUAGGACACGAUCGUUUUGUAUGUGUAUUCCUUUAGCAUUUGUUGUAUAAUUUAAAAAAGGUCAUAUGAGGUGGUUGUUUUCAUAUUUAAUUUUUCAUUCACUUCCAGGGAUAGGAUUGGCAUAGAAGAUGCAGCACUCUUUACAUUUUAAAUGUAUGUUGCCACCUUAGAAGUCAAGGUCUUUUUACAUGUGACAUUAACAUAUUUAUUUGUUCUAUUUUGUUGUUCUGUUAUUCUAUUGUUUUACUUUUUUUGUUUCAGAUCAAAUGUAUAUCAAGUGUUAUCCAUCCUUGAUAACACCUCCACAAAUAGAGACUGAAACUUCCGAGCACCAUCACCUUGUCUGCUUUGGGACUGUCAUAGCCCAGCAAUCAGAUGCAUCAGAACAACAAAGCACAACUGUGGUGGACCAGGCACCUUCAGCAACAAAGAUUUAACAACACUGUCAGUCAGGAGCAUAUUUAACAGGAGGCACACUUCAGCUGGCUUGAUGGUGACUUCAGUGCAGUGAAGAUAUUUAAAGAGACACUAUCUAAAGUACAGAAAGCCGUACAUAAUCUCUAGGUGCAGUCGCCUACAGUGCAGCCAGCUUCACAAAGACUGUGGGGCUGGUCACCAGGAAAAUGGUCAACAAGGAGUGCUUUUGGGGUUUUACUCCUCAGAUGACCACCCUGGCUACUGUAGCUGGGAUUGCUUCACAGACAAUGGAGGUCUUGAAGAGUAACGUGUACGUGCAUGUGAACACAUUGUGUUACUACAGGAACAAUUAUGGUCACUUGCAGUUCAUGUGUUUUCAAUGUAGUGUAAGAUGUGUUAAUUAUUAUUAUUACUCAAAAACCAUUAAAACUUCUAAAUUGUGGAAGUUAUUCUUCA